CAUUGAAUGCUUCUUUGUCCUGGCUGUUGGGAGCUUCUUCCCUGGUUCAGUCGUCAAGCAGUGAUAAUGAAAGAAACCACAGCAGCAUCAAUAUCCCAGUACGAGGAAGUGUACCAGAAAGCAGCUUAAACCAGAACAUUGCUGAACUAUACUCCAAUAUCCCCGAGUUCUCACACGAGGACUAUGCACUGUGCCAAGGCCAAGGUCCUUACUCCCACAUUAACCAGAUCUUGAAGGAGGCCCAUUUCUACAGCCUACAGCAGAGAGGACAGUCACCGACGUGAUGACCUGGGUGCUCCUCCUCCCUUGUUUAUAAAAAGCAAUGACAUUCCCACAAA